rnacentral:rRNA from 1 species
GCUAAACGCGAAGAACCUUACCUGGCCUUGACAUCCAUGGAAUCCCGAAGAGAUUUGGGAGUGCCGCAAGGAACCAUGAGACAGGUGCUGCAUGGCUGUCGUCAGCUCGUGUCGUGAGAUGUUGGGUUAAGUCCCGCAACGAGCGCAACCCUUGUCCUUAGUUGCCAUCAUUAAGUUGGGAACUCUAAGGAGACCGCCGGUGACAAACCGGAGGAAGGUGGGGAUGACGUCAAGUCAUCAUGGCCUUUAUGGCCAGGGCUACACACGUGCUACAAUGGCAGGUACAGAGGGAAGCCAACCAGCAAUGGGGAGCCAAUCCCAGAAAGCCUGUCUUAGUCCGGAUUGCAGUCUGCAACUCGACUGCAUGAAGUUGGAAUCGCUAGUAAUCGCAGAUCAGCAUUGCUGCGGUGAAUACGUUCCCGGGUCUUGUACACACCGAGGCACGGG